UCUGAUAAAUCCAAAGGGUCAAGAAUUUCAUCCAACACAAGUCUCUGAAUUCUUUGUUUAGAGAUAUGGCCUAAACGCUUAUGCCAUAAGGUGACUGAAUUCUCAUUCAAUUUUCAUUUUGUACCAUGUGAACUUAUUUGUAGUAUUUCAUUAUAGGAACUAACAACAUCAAGCAUGUAAAGAUGAUCAAUUAAAGAACCAGAAC
rnacentral:lncRNA from 1 species